rnacentral:rRNA from 1 species
CCUACGGCGGCAGCAGUGGGGAAUAUUGGACAAUGGGGGCAACCCUGAUCCAGCCAUGCCGCGUGUGUGAAGAAGGCCCUCGGGUUGUAAAGCACUUUCAGUGAGGAAGAACGCCUGGUGGUUAAUACCCAUCAGGAAAGACAUCACUCACAGAAGAAGCACCGGCUAACUCCGUGCCAGCAGCCGCGGUAAUACGGAGGGUGCGAGCGUUAAUCGGAAUUACUGGGCGUAAAGCGCGCGUAGGUGGCUUGAUAAGCCGGUUGUGAAAGCCCCGGGCUCAACCUGGGAACGGCAUCCGGAACUGUCAAGCUAGAGUGCAGGAGAGGAAGGUAGAAUUCCCGGUGUAGCGGUGAAAUGCGUAGAGAUCGGGAGGAAUACCAGUGGCGAAGGCGGCCUUCUGGACUGACACUGACACUGAGGUGCGAAAGCGUGGGUAGCAAACAGGAUUAGAUACCCGUGUAGUC